rnacentral:rRNA from 1 species
ACUUGUCUCUUAAAUGGGGACCUGUAUGAAUGGCUUUUCAUUCUCUAGCUGUCUCCCUUCUUUUCCCUUUAAACUUCUAUUUACGUGAAGAAGCGUAAUUUCACAAGAAAGACGAGAAGACCCUGUCGAGCUUCAGCUAAACCUAGGUUACAUACUUUCUUUUUAAGAAAAAUAAAUUCCUCUAGACUAAGCUUUGGUUGGGGCAACCAUGGAGCAAAAGCAGCCUCCAGAUUUUCAGGUAGAAAACCAUUCUCCUAAGAUACACCUUAAGAACCAAAAAUUUUGGAAAACGGAAAAAGUUACCGCAGGGAUAACAGCGUUAUCUUUUCUAAGAGCCCUUAUUGACGAAAAGGAUUGCGACCUCGAUGUUGGAUUGGG